AGCGAACGCUGGCGGCAGGCCUAACACAUGCAAGUCGAACGGACCCUUCGGGGCUAGUGGCGGACGGGUGAGUAACACGUGGGAACGUGCCUUUAGGUUCGGAAUAGCUCCUGGAAACGGGUGGUAAUGCCGAAUGUGCCCUUCGGGGGAAAGAUUUAUCGCCUUUAGAGCGGCCCGCGUCUGAUUAGCUAGUUGGUGAGGUAAUGGCUCACCAAGGCGACGAUCAGUAGCUGGUCUGAGAGGAUGACCAGCCACAUUGGGACUGAGACACGGCCCAAACUCCUACGGGAGGCAGCAGUGGGGAAUCUUGCGCAAUGGGCGAAAGCCUGACGCAGCCAUGCCGCGUGGAUGAUGAAGGUCUUAGGAUUGUAAAAUCCUUUCACCGGUGAAGAUGAUGACUGUAGCCGGAGAAGAAGCCCCGGCUAACUUCGUGCCAGCAGCCGCCGUAAAAC
rnacentral:rRNA from 1 species